rnacentral:rRNA from 1 species
AUGUUGUUUGGUGGUGUGGAUUUUCAUGUAAGGUGUUCGGCACACAUCCUUAAUAUCUUAGCUCAAGAUGGAGCAAGAUAUGUGCACAAGCCCAUAGAAAAAAUUCGUGAACUUUUAAGGCAUAUCGCUUCUUCGCCAUUAAGAAUUCAAUCCUUCAAUGUGAUUGCCACAAAUUUGGAUCUUCCUGAAAAGGCUGGUGGCAUAAAUCUUGAUAUUCCAAACCGUUGGAACUCUACAUAUCUAAUGAUUGAAGAAGCUCUGGAAUACAAGGGAGCCCUCAAUAAUUAUGCAAGUGGAAAUGGUGAAAUAGCACCGGACGAUGUGGAGUGGACUAAUGCUGAUGUAAUGUGCACAUUUCUAAAAGCUUUUGAAGAAGCGACAAAGUUAGUAUCAGCCGAUAGAACACUAACAACCCAUCUUUUUUUGCACAUGGUGUUGUGCAUCCGCGACGCGCUAAGGGACCCUCAGUGGAGCACUAGUGGCACUAUGUCAAACCUUGUCUAUGCUAUGGGCCAAAAGUUUGAUAAAUACUGGAAAGAGUCAAAACUGAAUGUUGCAGUUGUCAUCGCAACGGUGUGA